rnacentral:sRNA from 1 species
CUAUAGCCCUGAUUGUAGUGUAAAUCCCGCAGCUGCCUGGCAUAGCCGGCGUGAGGAAUUGAAAUGAAAAGCAGGUAAAUAC